rnacentral:rRNA from 1 species
GUGGGGAAUAUUGGACAAUGGGCGCAAGCCUGAUCCAGCCAUGCCGCGUGAAGGAUUAAGGUCCUCUGGAUUGUAAACUUCUUUUAUAAGGGACGAAAAAAGGCUUUUCUAAGUCGUCUGACGGUACCUUAUGAAUAAGCACCGGCUAACUCCGUGCCAGCAGCCGCGGUAAUACGGAGGGUGCAAGCGUUAUCCGGAUUCACUGGGUUUAAAGGGUGCGUAGGCGGGCAGGUAAGUCAGUGGUGAAAUCCUAGAGCUUAACUCUAGAACUGCCAUUGAUACUAUCUGUCUUGAAUAUUGUGGAGGUAAGCGGAAUAUGUCAUGUAGCGGUGAAAUGCUUAGAUAUGACAUAGAACACCUAUUGCGAAGGCAGCUUACUACGCAUAUAUUGACGCUGAGGCACGAAAGCGUGGGGAUCAAACAGGAUUAGAAACCCUUGUAGUCC